rfam:Kwoniella mangroviensis CBS 10435 unplaced genomic scaffold supercont2.6, whole genome shotgun sequence.
GUCCUUAUGCUAGGGUUAGAGCUUCUGACAGUGAGGAGAGAUCCGAGUCGAAGCAAUUGCUGAUUGCAAAAUACAAUCCUACCGUUGUAUUGCGUCUUCACAGACCGAUACACAAUUUCUGGAAACUGAACAUCCAU